rnacentral:rRNA from 1 species
GUUGUAUGGUUAAGUGACUAAGCGUACACGGUGGAUGCCUUGGCAGUCAGAGGCGAUGAAAGACGUAGUAACUUGCGAUAAGCCCAGAUUAGGUAGUAACAACCAUUUGAGUCUGGGAUUUCUGAAUGGGGAAACCCACGUGCAUAAGCACGUAUCCUUACCUGAAUACAUAGGGUAAGGAGGCGAACCGGGGGAACUGAAACAUCUAAGUACCCCGAGGAAAAGAAAUCAACCGAGAUUCCGAAAGUAGCGGCGAGCGAAAUUGGACUAGCCCUUAAGCUUUACACGCGUUAGACGAACGGUCUGGAAAGUCCGACGAUACAGGGUGAUAGUCCCGUAGUUGACGACGUGUGUUCAGUGAAAUCGAGUAGGGCGGGACACGUGAUAUCCUGUCUGAAUAUGGGGGGACCAUCCUCCAAGGCUAAAUACUACUGACUGACCGAUAGUGAACCAGUACCGUGAGGGAAAGGCGAAAAGAACCCCUGUGAGGGGAGUGAAAUAGAACCUGAAACCGUGUACGUACAAGCAGUAGGAGCAGGCUUCGUCCUGUGACUGCGUACCUUUUGUAUAAUGGGUCAGCGACUUAUAUUCAGUGGCAAGGUUAACCAUCUAGGGGAGCCGUAGGGAAACCGAGUCUUAACUGGGCGUUCAGUCUCUGGAUAUAGACCCGAAACCAGGUGAUCUAGCCAUGGGCAGGUUGAAGGUUGAGUAACAUCAACUGGAGGACCGAACCGACUAAUGUUGAAAAAUUAGCGGAUGACUUGUGGCUAGGGGUGAAAGGCCAAUCAAACCUGGAGAUAGCUGGUUCUCCCCGAAAGCUAUUUAGGUAGCGCCUCGGACGAAUACUACUGGGGGUAGAGCACUGUUAAGGCUAGGGGGUCAUCCCGACUUACCAACCCUUUGCAAACUCCGAAUACCAGUAAGUACUAUCCGGGAGACACACGGCGGGUGCUAACGUCCGUCGUGGAGAGGGAAACAACCCAGACCGCCAGCUAAGGUCCCAAAUUACUACUAAGUGGGAAACGAUGUGGGAAGGCUCAGACAGCCAGGAUGUUGGCUUAGAAGCAGCCAUCAUUUAAAGAAAGCGUAAUAGCUCACUGGUCGAGUCGGCCUGCGCGGAAGAUGUAACGGGGCUAAGUAGUAAACCGAAGCUGCGGCAAUACUCUUUGAGUAUUGGGUAGGGGAGCGUUCUGUAAGCGGUUGAAGGUGUGUGGUAACGCAUGCUGGACGUAUCAGAAGUGCGAAUGCUGACAUGAGUAACGAUAAAGGGGGUGAAAAACCUCCUCGCCGGAAGACCAAGGGUUCCUGUCCAACGUUAAUCGGGGCAGGGUAAGUCGACCCCUAAGGCGAGGCCGAAAGGCGUAGUCGAUGGGAAACGGGUUAAUAUUCCCGUACUUCUUACAAUUGCGAUGGGGGGACGGAGAAGGCUAGGUGGGCCUGGCGACGGUUGUCCAGGUUCAAGUGCGUAGGCUUGAGAGUUAGGUAAAUCCGGCUCUCUUUAAGGCUGAGACACGACGUCGAGCACCUACGGGUGUGAAGUCA